AUAUUGGUCAAUAGCCUAACGGCUGAACCAGCAACUUGGACUAAUGAGAGGUGAAGACCUGGUGUAAUAAAAAUAUUACAAGAAGUAACACUGUUACAUGAAGUUAUAGAUAGAUAUUUGAUAAUGACAUGAUCUAUCUAAGAGUCUUGACCAAGUCACGUGCCAGCAGUCGCGGUAACUCGUGGAAGACAAGUGUUAUUCAUCUUUAUUAGGUUUAAAGGGUACCUAGACAGUUAACCAAGCCUACACCAGGUACUAGUUAACUAGAGUUUUAUAGGAUUUGGCUAGAACGGUGAGUGGAGAGAUAAAAUACUUUGAUACCGCCUUGAAACUAGCAAGGGCGAAAGCAACCUUUUAUGUAAAAACUGACGUUGAGGGACGAAGGCUCAAUUUAAGAAACAGGAUUAGAUACCCCAGUACUAAGAGCAGACAAUGAUGAGUGUCAUAUAUAAGUAUGUAAGAUAUAUAUAUGUAUAAAUGAAAGUGUAAGCACUCCACCUUAAGAGUAACAUGGCAACAUAGGAACUGAAAUCAUUAGACCGUUUCUGAAACCAGUAGUGAAGUAUGUUGUUUAAUUUGAUGAUCCGCAAAGAACCUUACCAAAGUUUGAAUAAUUUACAGGAGUUGCACGGCUGUUUUUAGUUGAUAUCGUGAGAUUUUGGUUAGUUCCAUUUAAUCAACGUAAACCCUUACUUUAUUUAUUUAAUAAAGUGUUCAAAGCCAAAAUUUUUUUUAGCUAAGAUAAGAGGGAUCAAGACAAGUCAUCAUGACCUAAAUACUAUGGGC
rnacentral:rRNA from 1 species